rnacentral:rRNA from 2 species
GGAUCCAGACUUUGAUUCUGGCUCAGGAUGAACGCUAGCUACAGGCUUAACACAUGCAAGUCGAGGGGCAGCGAUGAAGAAAGCUUGCUUUCUUCAGGCGGCGACCGGCGCACGGGUGAGUAACGCGUAUCGAACCUGCCUCAUACUCAGGAAUAGCCUUGCGAAAGUAAGAUUAAUGCCCGAUGUUAUUAGGAUAUCACAUGGUGUUUUAAUUAAAGAUUUAUCGGUAUGAGAUGGCGAUGCGUCCCAUUAGCUUGUUGGCGGGGUAACGGCCCACCAAGGCAUCGAUGGGUAGGGGUUCUGAGAGGAAGGUCCCCCACAUUGGAACUGAGACACGGUCCAAACUCCUACGGGAGGCAGCAGUGAGGAAUAUUGGUCAAUGGACGCAAGUCUGAACCAGCCAAGUAGCGUGCAGGAAGACGGCCCUCUGGGUUGUAAACUGCUUUUAGUUGGGAAUAAAGUGCACCACGUGUGGUGUUUUGUAUGUACCAUCAGAAAAAGGACCGGCUAAUUCCGUGCCAGCAGCCGCGGUAAUACGGAAGGUCCAGGCGUUAUCCGGAUUUAUUGGGUUUAAAGGGAGCGCAGGCGGACCUUUAAGUCAGCUGUGAAAUACGGCGGCUCAACCGUCGAACUGCAGUUGAUACUGGAGGUCUUGAGUGCACACAGGGAUACUGGAAUUCAUGGUGUAGCGGUGAAAUGCUCAGAUAUCAUGAAGAACUCCGAUCGCGAAGGCAGGUAUCCGGGGUGCAACUGACGCUGAGGCUCGAAAGUGCGGGUAUCAAACAGGAUUAGAUACCCUGGUAGUCCGCACAGUAAACGAUGAAUACUCGCGAUUUGCGAUACACAGUAAGUCGCCAAGGGAAAGCGUUAAGUAUUCCACCUGGGGAGUACCCCGGAAAGGGUGCAACUCAAAGGAAUUGACGG